ensembl:lncRNA
CAAUGAGAAAGCACUCAGUUUAUUCCACUAGAGCUUGGCUGGACAGCUAUUGUGUGCUAAGCAUACUAUCAGGCACUGCUACAAAGCAUCAGAAAGACAGCCUAAUCCUCCCCCACCCCCACUUUCCUGUGUGAGCCGAGUCAAGGGCGGGCAAACACACACACACACACACACACACACACACACACACACACACACACACACACACACCACAUCUUUUUAUGACCCUGGCAGCUGCUGCAGGCUUUUCCUAGAAUUGUUUAUUAAACCCAACCCAAGGGCCUAAAUAAAUCCAGGAACUGAUACAAUUUUCCAUUUGUUCUGGCCAAGACUGGAGCCCUGAAACCUUCACAUAAACCCCAGGCCUUGCUUCUCUUGCCACAGCAGUGUACCUAAGCAAAGAUCCAUCGCCUUUUGUCUUGCUCUCUCCAGGAUAGCUCACAACCCUCUAGUUUUGCUGGUAAAUCACCUUGUAUUUUAGGGAUUUUUAUUCUCUGAUCAAAUUAAUCUCUUCUCAGCAUGCCUCAGAACACUUCCUGGCUGUGGCUUUUGGAAUGAUUUUGUCUAUUGAAUUACAUGGAAAAAAGCCAAGAUGUUAGGAUCGGUUUCGUUUUCCUGGAAACUGGUGUAGUUCCCAGAACUGUGUAUCCCCCACAGAGCUCCACCCGCUGGCGGCCUUCUGAGGCAGGCAUUCGGUCACUGAGUUGUUCAGACAGGCCUUGAACUCUCUCUGCAGCUCAGCAGGAUUACCUGAGCUCAGCCUAAGGUUUGGCCGUGGGUCUCUGCAUCUGUUUCCCUCAGUUACUGGAUGAAGGCUCUCUGAUGACAAUUGGAGUAGUCUCCAGUCUGAUCAUAGGAGAUAAGUUCAUACAUCCCCUCUUGUUAAGAGACUUUCUUCAGAGGCACAGCUAUUCAGCUACAAGAAAGCUGAAUGAAUCAUCCUUGUAGAUUCAUGGGAGUUUCUCUGGCAUCGGGUUUCUACCUCAACUCCAAAUGUCCCCAAUUCCAGUCAUCUCUUUCAGUAUUCUCCCCUUCCACGUACCACCCAACCUAACUCCUCAAGUUCCUAUCCCUACCUGCCCUCAGUCCUGGUGGUUUUUCUUAACCAUAUUGGGUUAUACCAAAGCCAAUUACAAUGAAGAUGGAGUCAGUUAUAACUAGUUGUUUUAUUUCUUUAUAAUGUGUUGUUAUUUGUUGCUUUUUAUUUUGUCACAGAAGGAAAAAACAUAAUUGCAAAAUAAAGCCCUCCCCCCAAUGAAGUCGGUGCCAUGGCAUCUUCAGUCAGCUAUUGGACUCAUUUGGAUGGCAGGUUGUGGCUGCAGCAGCAGCAGCAGCAGUAUGUCUUUCUAAAAAUAUAUCUGAAAGGUGUUCUUUGAGAAUGUCAUAUGCAACGUACAAUGUAUUUUGGUGAUAGUCUUCUCCACACAACACCUCCAGCUUUUCUGUCCCUAGCUCUUUCCUUUCCCAGUUUCACACCCUCUUCAUAGCUGUGCCUCUGAAGAAAGGUGGCUCUCCUCCUGGCACUACUGCCCUUAGCUUCUCAGCAAGGGGUGGCUGGGACCUCCAGAGCCCCUCUCCUAGCCAAGCUCCAGCUCUCUUUACCUCUUAAUCACAGAUGGACGAAACUGAUCUCUACCGCCCCCUGGUGACUAUACGAAAGUGCUGCGAGAAGAACCUCAGUGCCUUUCCCGAAAUUGCCAACGAUGUCAAAUGUAAUUCUACUUCUUCGGCAUCAUUUCCACCCUUCCUACACUAGUUCCCACUUUGGAACUGUGAGUCCGCAGAGGCAGGUGGAUCUCUGUGAGUUCGAGACCAGCCAGGUCUACAAGAGCUAGUUCCAGGACAGCCUCCUAAGCCACAGAGACAAAAAAAAAAAAAAAAAAAAAAAAAAAAAGAAUGACAAAAGUGACUGAACAGUGCUACCCCAACCCAUCCCAAUGGCUGCGUUUUCUUGAAUUCGAUUCUUCCAAAUGUCCCCAAUUCCAUAGCUUCUUCAAAUUAGUGUGUGUUGGUCUGCUGUGUAGCACGAUGGAUUUGAUAAAACUGUUUGAGGAUGUGAGAGUCACACUUGGUGUAGAUAGGAGAUUCUGAGAAAAACCCGCCCAGAGAUUAACAUCUGUGUUUCAAUUCUGUUUCCGAACGAAAGCAGAAGUUUCUGUGAAAAGAACACACAUUGCAGUUGGAGGAAGUGCUGCAACUCUCUGUUUUGCAAUUUUCAGCGGGGACAAGGGGGUGAUCGGAUUCCAGGCUUUGAAUAGUCCUUUAUGUCCCACUGCACCUGCCCCUUUCUUUCCCCCAGCUUUCUAUGCACUGGUGGUGCAGCCUGUGGAUCAGGACUUGAAGGAGGAGGAAAGAACACAGGUUUCUCAGCUCAUUUAUGCACCCGCCCCUCCAGUUAUGUAGAGCUAUUCUGGGGUGUGCUUUCUUUGCUCCAUCAUCAGGUAGCUGAGUAGAGAGAAAAGGUGUUGAGACAAAGAAAAUGACUUCACCGAAAAAAAAAUCUUCUCAAUAUGAAAAAAAGAGAGGACUUCUUCCAUCUUGCAUUUUGGGAUGGAGGGCCUCUGAGGGCAUCGGUGGGUAGGAAAGGGUCACAGAGCAGGUUAGCAGCUGUAUUUUCCCUUCCCUUCCUUUGUUUCUGGCCAGAAAUGUUUCACAGUGGACUCAGACUCCCUGAAGAUUCAGAAGGGGCUUACAAAGGUCAUUAGAUUUUUCUGGGGUCUGUGUAUCUAGAGCAAUACCUGGUAGCCAACGUGGUAACCACCUAGACGGGGCCUCUCUUCAGAGUUUGGCAUCCAGGCAGAGGUCAGUGCAUGUCAAGGACUGGGAAGGGAAUGUUUUCAGAACUUUGCUGGGGACAGCGCUCCAAACUCAUGACUCUGAUGAAUUGUCAGCCUCUCUCCAUCCUCUGACUCUUUUCCUUGCUGGGGGAGCUGUCAAGGCUCAUUGUCACUCAGAAGCAGGGGUCAGAGAUAGGAAAUUUAAUCAACCAGGAAGAGGAACAAAGAAAGGGAUCCAUUGGCCCCAAGUUCAUCUUUCGUGUCCCAACAGGCAGAGUUAGGGAACUGGAUGGUUUUUCUCAAGCAAUGGGACUUCUUCCAAGCACCCGGAAUAAGCAGAACUGAGCUGAUGACCAAGCACAGCACAGUAAGAAGCCCUCGGGCACCUGCACCAGUUCUUCCUCUUUGAAAACCCAAGCUGAUGUCAGUUUUUUUUAAAGACAGCCUUAAUUCCUGUGUUUCCCGAAUGGGCAUUCUACUUAAACCCCUUAUAUUUCCAUCAUUACUCUUCUUUGGAGUAUGUUAGAACCUCAGAGUCCAGUUACAGUAGGAGGUCCAGGCCUCCUGUUACAAUGUGACCCACCAAUUCCAAUGCUAGAGGCCCAAACUACACUACACAUGCUUGUCCACACCUAAGGACAGUAGUAAAUUCCAUGAGUGCCAAUGAAAGAAAUUAGGGAAUUCAUAAAUCCGGUACAGUGGGAGUAGACUCAGCCAUUUCACUGCAGAGAAGGACAAAUGCAAAAGUUAUUACACCUAUCUCUUAAACUCAGCCCCGCCCCAUGGUUGGUUUUACUUGGCAAUUUAACGUCUACAAUCAUUUGCAAAGGGAGUAUCUAGAUUAGGUUGGCGUGUGGGUAUAUCUGAGGGAGACUGAGGUGAAAAAGCCCUCCCACUCUAGGUGACAUCAUUGUCUGGGCAGGGGAUUUCAGCUGUCGGAGGGUGUAGAAACUGAGGCAAGCAUUAGGGUGUGUGCAACACUUCAUUGUUCUUCCUCUCCGCUGUGGAUAUAAUGUGACCAACUGCUUCAAACACCUGCUGCCUUGACUUCUCUUCAGUGAUAGACUGCGCAGUGAUUUGAAUGAGAAAUGCCCCUUACGGGCUCAUGUAUCUGAACAUUUUGUCCCUAGGUGGGCGUGAUGUUUGGGGGGAUGUUAUGGAACCUUUAGGAGCUGUGAUCUUGACAUAGAAAGUACAUAGCUGCUGGUGGGCUUUAAGAGUUUUUAACCAAUGAAUGGAGGAGACAAAACAAAUUAGGCAAGGACAGAGACCAACACACUUCCAUCCCCCCCUAGCCCCCCAUAACAGACUGGCUGUGAAAAUCCAUAAAACUAUCAAAUCAUUGGGCCUGUAAAAAUGACACUAUAUGUCCUUCAAGGAAAAUAUGGGUGCCUUUCUCAAUUUUGGCUUGAAAAUUUUGCCCAUAUAAGAAGGGGGGGGGGAGGCAAGAUGCACAGUGAAAACUGCUUCUUAUAUCAAGAAUAAUCGGGUCUAUCUACAAUUACAGACCCAAGCAAGCAAAACCCCUGAAAUGAAGGUAGCUGAGAUGGCUCAAAGGGCUCUGCUCCCAGGGCCCAAUAGCCUGAGUUUCAUUCCUAGGACUCACGUGUGGUGGAAGGGGAGACCAAUGCGCGCGCGCACACGCACAACACACACACACACACACACACACACACACACACACACACACACACACACACGCAUGCACACGUGGAAUUACAAGCAUGCAUAUGUUGACAACUGGAGAGACUACUCACCCUGAGAACCGAGCAUCAGAUGUGCAAUGCUGGGAGCAAGAGCGGCCGUAACUAGUCUGUGUAGAGACUAGCACGAGAGCCGCUCCCACACACCACAGAGAUGCGGAAGCCGCUUCAUCUGUGCACAUUUGCAGAUAUCAUCAGCAUGCAGCUUACAUUUCAGAUGGGGUUUCAAUCACCUCAAUUCUUCUUCCUCUUCUUUCUUUCUUCUUCUCUUCCACGUCCCCUUUCUCCUCCUCCAGAGCAAAGAACACCAAGAGGAGCGAGGGGCUGGAGAGGUGGCUCCGCAGGCAAGGGAGCUGGCUUUCCUUCUAGAGGACAGUUUUGUUGCCAGACGCCCCCUUUAGUCAGUUUACAACCAUCUGUUAGCCCAGUUCCCCAAGAUUUCAGUGCCCUCUGCUGAGCACUGCUGCACACGCAGCCAUACACAGGAGGCUCCUGCCCUCUUCUCACUUCUGCCCCUCUCUCCUCCUUCCUCCCCUGCCCUGCUUUCUCCCCCAUCCCUGCCCUGUUUUCUCACCCAGCUCAAUAUAGCUAAAAAUGAUCCUUCAAAGAGCCACAAGGGUCACCUUCACCUGCCAGAACUGACACUGCUCAGAGUCCUACUCAAAAUGAACAACACUGCAGAAAGUCGAGGAAACCUGUCUGCUGCUGGCCCCUCCCCGAGAAAAUUAUUUUUUUCAUAUGAACCAAGUCUCAUCUAACUAAUAACCAAAGCAAAACGCAAAACAACCAAGGAUAGCUCUGGUAGGAACCCGAGCGCAUCUCUGCUCCUCAGCUAACACUGCAGCCUCUCUCCCCAGUCUUCAGGAAAACACACCGUGUCAUAUCUGUCAUAUCUCGUGAAGUGUGUUUGCUAAGUCUUCAGCUAAAACAGGAAGAGAAGAAGUAACCCACCAAAGAUCUAACACUUCCGACAGCUCAGGAAAUCGUUCGGUUUACAAGGAACACAAAUCCCAAUUAACACACCCAACCGCCAUUCUCAAGUUGUUUAUUAAGUUUGAUCAUUUAAUAUUUAUUCAUAUUUAUAUGUAUUACAUUUAUUUUAUGUAUGUAUGUUUGGUUUUACAUAUAUUUUAUAUACUUCUAUAUUUCAUAUUUAUUUAUAUCUG